CUAUCGUUGCAAUAGUAGGGGAUUGUGGAAAGAGCACUAACGUGUGUAUCUGUGAGUGUGUGAGAGAGAGAUAGAAAGGAGUAAAAAUCUGUUUACUCACUCUGGAAAGGCUCUGAAGAAAACAUACAUAGUGACGAUGUUGACGGUAUAAAGGUGGUCAUCAACUACGACUAUCCCCAGCAAACGGAAGAUUACGUGCAUCGCAUCGGACGUACCGGACGCUCGAAUGCCACCGGCGAAGCAUACACAUUCUUCACCCAUAACGAGCGUAAGAUGGCCAAAGAGCUGAUCAGCAUUCUCGAGGAAGCGCACCAAACCGUAC